UUGCUUCUAUUUCAUGACCCAAAUAAUGGGAAAUCGUGGGUGGGGCAAGGGACUGCAGGAGGGGAAGGGUAACUUCAAGAAGCCAAGGAACAAAGAUGUACAACGGUGUAUGAGGCUGUGGCAGACAACUGAUGUGUGUGUAUGCGCAUGGAGCAGACGAAGGGUAAAUAACUGGCUCGAGAAGCUGGACACACUCAAGGGACACACAAUAAAGCCACUCUCACACUAGAAAA